rnacentral:other from 1 species
AAAUGCCUGCCCAGUUUGUGAUAACAAUGUUGUUUUGUGCUAAUUAUAAUUAAAUUGGAUUUUCGAUUAGAUGUGUAGUGAAUGCCUUCAUCGCAGUUGGACUCAUAAAGCAUUUAUAGAAUUUCCUACUUUGAACUUAGGUUCAAGCGGAUUGUUACACGGCAAGGGCAGGUCUUUG